rnacentral:rRNA from 1 species
GACAGAGGUGGCAAGCGUUGUUCGGAUUUAUUGGGUGUAAAGGGCAGGUAGGCGGUUGCGCAAGUCUGAUGUGAAAGCCCACAGCUCAACUGUGGAAUGGCAUUGGAAACUGCGUGGCUUGAGUGUCGGAGAGGUGAGGGGAAUUCUCGGUGUAAGGGUGAAAUCUGUAGAUAUCGAGAGGAACACCAGUGGCGAAGGCGCCUCACUGGCUGACAACUGACGCUGAACUGCGAAAGCUAGGGGAGCAAACAGG